GUGAGUGAUUUCUGUGUAGCCCUAAAUGUAGCACUUUCUAAAAGCCCACCUCUAAAGGCCAGCAAGGGAAGCCAGUAGGGAAAUACUGGGGCUCCUCCCUAGGGAAACACCAUUGGGAAAGGGAGAGCUGGAGAGAAAUACUUACUGCACUCUAGGGGUUCCUCCGUCAUAUACCAAUUCUCAUCAACAUUGUGGGGUUCCCGAGAAUCCCAGCUGACAAUUCUCCACACAUGUCUCUAUACAGACCUUCCUCAGAAUAUAUCAAUUGGAAAAAUGGCCAAACCUUCAUUAGAACAGCAGGGAUUCCUCAUAUAAGUAAAGCUCCUGAAUAUGAAGAAACCCAGAGAGUUCUCCCUAAAGCAACAGCUCUAAUCUAUAGCUGGCAGAGGUCUCUCUCAGAACAUAUGGACUGGAAAACCUGGUAAACAUUCAAGAGAACAGGUAAUGCUCCAUAGUCAAAGAAGCUGACUGACACUUGGCUUGACUAAGGGAAGAACUGAAGCAGCCCAGCAGGGGUCUCCCUCCCAAGCUACAUCUUAGGCAUUGUAUUGGGUGUGGGAAAGGAUCUGGAGAGACAAGACCAGGGGUCUCCUUACCAACACAGGCCUAAUUUUCAGAGGGUGCAGUAGAAAAACCCACAACUGCACAGCAGGGCGUCCUCCUCCAAGACAGCUCCAGGACAAGGUCUCCCUCAGAGAAAUGGAUUGGAAAACGUGGUAAAAAUUCAAGGGAACAGGUAAUCCUCCUUAGUCAAAAAAGCUAACUGACACUUGCCUGGAUGAAGGGGUAAGUGACACAGCCCAGCAAGGGUCUCCCUCCCAAGCUACAUCUUAGCCAUUGUGGUUGGUGAGUGAAGGGAUCUGGAGGGACAACACCAGGGGACUCCUUACUGACACAGACCUAAUUUUCAGAUGAUACAAUGACGGCCUUCAGCUGCACAGCAGGGGGUCCUCCUCCAAAGACAGCUCCAGGACAUGGUCUCCCUCAGACAAAUUCAUUAGAAAACCUGGGAAACAUUCAAUAGAACAGAGGGUGCCUUGGUGGCCUUCAUGUGCACAACAGGGUGUUCUCCUCCAAAGACAGCUCCAGGACAUGGUCUCCCUCAGACACACAGAUUGGAAAACCUGGAAAACAUUCAAUCGAACAGAGGGUGCAGUGGCGUUCUUCAGCUGCACAGCAGGGGGUUCUCUUCCAAAGACAGCUCCAUGACCUGGUGAGUGAUUUCUGUGUAGCCCUAAAUGUGGGCCUCCCCUUGUUUAUGCCUAAAUCAUGGACCCAUUUUGAUCUUACCUUGGUAUACAGCAUUAAGUGUUGGCCCGUG
rnacentral:lncRNA from 1 species